UUUGAGACAGCGGCUGCCUAUAUAAACAGGGCAGUUUGGCUGCUGGAGGCCAGGCAAUGAUAUUGCCUGGCUGAAGGGCUGCUGUGAAUGACCUGGAGCUGCCCCCGAGGUCUCUGGGAUUUGCAGUCCAGAAUCAGAGCAGCAGGACUGUACAUGGUUGCUUGUCACUUCCUUGUCCUGCUUCCAGUUGCCUCUGGGGUUUGUAGCCCACAGCUGCACCCAGCACUAAGCUGUAGGUGAAUGGAAAUGUGAAAAGAUCAACAGAUGCUGGGUUGGGUCUGCCUAGAUGACUUCUGAAUGUCUUCCUCAUGGAAGGAUAGAAGAGGUGUGGUAAAGAUACUUUAAACACAGAGGCCUUGAAGACAAGCAGAAGGUAGUAGGAAUCGGGCAUCUCAGAAGCAAGCUGGGCACUGCACCUCUGCCCAGCACCAGAGAGGCCAGCCUUUGUGUGAGCUAUGCACUGCAAGCUAGACAGGGCAGGGUCAAGCUGCUGCCCAGCAGCUCAGAAAUGCCUGCUCUGUUCUCAGCACAGGUGGCUGUAGUGGGCUGGGAAGUUCCCAACUCAAAAAAUGUGACUUCAGAAAAUGCUGAUUCAUCGAAACAAGGAAGCCUUAGCUUCAUUUGUAUGUGUAUGGCCCAGCUCCAGCCUGGCUUGCUAAUGAGAGGGACCAGCAUGACCACCCUGAACUCUGGUGCCUUCUAUGCACGGAGCAGAGGGACUGGGCCAACCUGGCAUAAGCUUCCACACACCCCCGUGGAACGUAGACUGGUACUGUUGACACGUAGCCCUGUCCCCCAUCUCAACCCCCUAUAGAUUUCAUAGACAUUAGGGGCUGGAAGGGACCUUGGAAGAUCAUCGAGUCCAGCCCCCUGCCCCUAUGACCUGGGAUGAGAAGCAAGGCUACAGCACUGCUCACUAUUUUGUGUAGAGGCAGCUGGCCAAUCUCUUUGGGAAUUAAUGAAGCAUUGCCAUUACCAUCAGUUGCAAAACAGGAUUCUCAUUCGGGUCAACAUGCCACUACCAUCUCUUCUUAUAGUGAGACCAUGGAGUCGAUUUAACAAGAUGGGAGAACGGGGAGCUUAAGCUAGUGGGCUUGGAGGUCCCAGGACUUGGACACAUUCAAUUGCCUUUUAAACUUCAUGGGAGUUUUUCCUCAUUUUUCUACAGGAGCCAGAUCUGUCUACAUAUGAUUUGGCUCCCAAGAACAGCAGUGCAACACAAAGGCUAUAAGACCUCUGGGAGCAAAGUGGUUCAAACAGUUGGGAUGUUGGGAAGAUUUUCAUGGGCUUGUUUACAAGAGAACCACAGAGGUAAUAAAUCAGUGCAAGUGACUCUGGCAAUGCUUAUUUUAUGAUAAGGAGUGGCACACAGCAGGUUGGGUAUGUCAGUUAGGAGCAAACUUGAAAGCAGCUUACUGUGGUUUAAUUCUAGUCAUUUAAGAACUGGACAAACAAAGCCUCUCUUGCAUAAAGCCAAGAACACACAGACGGUAGCUACAACCUUCUCGUUUCAGCAAGGCUUUCAGGCUAUGCCCAAAGGUGGGUCUCUCUCACAGGCCUGGGGACCUAAGUUGCAACCUUUUGGUUCGUGAAAUCACUCACCGUCAGAGGGAAGCUGGCCAGCUCCCUCUGCAGGUCCUCCUUGCCUGUCCCUGAUGCCCAGGAGACCUCACACAUGCAGUACAUUAGGCCCUUGGACAGGCUGGAUUUGCUGAUGUAUGCACUCUACUGCAGAUGUCUGCAACAGGAACAGGAGGACUAAAUCUGGAUGGAAGCAAGAAGCAUGAGCCCUAUUGUUUCCCUGAGACAGAUUUCUGGUAGGACACGUUGUCAGCACAGUGGGGCUUCAGGCCAGAAAGGGGUGAUUUUGAAUUUAGACAUACAGAAGAGUUGCACCCCAGCACACAGAGAACUCUACCAUUUUUCUUCCCCUAAGGUCUGGGUGCUCCUUUUGCGGAGCAGUUUGAUUCCUACAUCAACACGCAAUAUUGCCAGUCUCUAAGAGCUCUCAUCUAUCUCACAUUUUUUUCCUUUGAUGCUUAAUUA